CGAGUACGUUGGUCGACUGCGCGUCAUGCGAGGAAAGUCCGUGCUCCACAGAGCAAAGGUGCUGGAUAACGUCCAGUAGGGGCGACCCUAAGGCUAGUGCAACAGAGAUAUACCGCCAAGUUGACUUGGUAAGGCUGGAAAGGCGAGGUAAGAGCUCACCAGCACAUAGGCGACUAUGUGGCUAUGUAAACCCCAUCUGGAGCAAGACCAAGAAGGAGCAAAAGGGUGGCUGCUCGUCACCUUCCAUAAGGUAGGUCGCUAAAGCUUUUUGGUGACAAAAAGAUUAGAUAGAUAGUCGAUGAAUACAGAACACGGCUUAUAGAUGUAGUCGGACU
rnacentral:RNase_P_RNA from 1 species